CACCGACCUGCGGGAGCAGGGCAUCGGCUGCCUGCACGGCACCUGGGCGAGUCACGUCCAGCCCGCGUUCGAGUCCCGGCAGGUGU
rnacentral:tRNA from 1 species